AGUGUAAGACUCCAAAGGGAUCGCAUUGAUCUGGCUAGCUAAUAGCUACAGCUCGAAUGCCCUCUAUGCAUCGAUCUGCAGCAUUAGCUUCACGCAUGGAUGCUCUCGAUCGACGACGUGCAAGAUCGAUCAGUGCAAUCCCUUUGGAAUUUUCCAC
rnacentral:pre_miRNA from 1 species